CACCUGCUCUUUUUGUUUUAUUUUAUUAUUAUUUUUCCUGAAAGAAAUUCACUCCCUUUCUGAAUCGGAACCGAGCAGAGUUGAAUCGGAUAGGAAUGAAAAGAUUCUGAUCCUUACUUAAUCCUCUGGAUAAUCCAGUCUAACCAACUGCAGCGUUUUUGUCGCUUAAUCUCACUCUGGAAGAACAGCACGCGCUCCUCGAUCCAAAGAGGAGCCAUGGAGUUGUCGGGUUCCAUCGCCUGCCCCACGGCGGCUCAGGCGCGGCUGCUCCGGCCGCCGGCUGAUCUUCCCUGGCUCGCCUCGCCUCCUCAAAGGCGCAAUGUCCCUGCCUCUUCAGGAUACAUAUCUUGUAGGAGUUUUGCCGUGAGAAGCAAAGUGACCAAGGCGAUGCCUUCACUGAGUGUGAGCAUUCAGCCUGCAUUUCCUCAGCCAGUUACUCGGGCUACAUGGAAGAAGAAACACAAUGUUACAUGCUAUCAGAGACAAGGAGCUCCACAGAUAGAAGCCAAGUCAAUGGAGGAAGUAUAUGAUUCUUUGGCUGAGCACAUUCUUUCUGUCUUCAAGAGUAUCGAUAAUCUUGAUUCAAAAUAUAUUGUUGGUCUGGCUGGCCCACCUGGUGCAGGCAAGUCUACUGUUGCCUCUGAAGUGGUUCGACGCGUCAAUAUGCGUUGGUCUCAGAAGCAUACAAAAGAUAGUUCACUGAAUUCAAAUGAAGAUAUUGCGACAAUGCUUCCCAUGGAUGGUUUCCACCUUUAUCGAUCCCAGCUUGAUGCAAUGAAGGAUCCAAAAGAAGCACAUGCAAGAAGAGGAACACCAUGGACAUUCAAUCCAUCACUUUUUCUGAAAUGCCUACAGACCCUAAAGGAAGAGGGGUCAGUCUAUGCUCCAUCAUUUGAUCAUGGUGUUGGUGACCCAGUCGAGAAUGACAUAUUUGUAAAGCCGCAGCACAAAAUAGUGAUCGUCGAGGGGAAUUAUUUAUUACUGGAAGAAGAUUUUUGGAGGGAAAUUAGAGACAUGUUCGAUGAGAAAUGGUUCAUUGACAUUGACAUUGAUGUCUCCAUGCAAAGAGUGCUCCAGAGGCAUAUUGGCACAGGUUUGCCUCAUCCACGAUUGCUUUGCUCCUUUGAGAUGCAGCAUGGCGGAUUUCAUACAAUGACCGGCCGAAUGCUGAGCUUAUCAUGGAGUCAAAAAAGGCUGCAGAUCUUGUAAUCAGAUCGGUGGACUACUGAAGCUAGACCCCAUGUUUCUGAUGGCAAUUUUGAUUUUCGAUUUCGUACAAUGACCGCCCGAAUGCUGGGCUUAUCAUGGAGUCAAAAAGGACUGCAGAUCUUGUGAUCAGAUUGAUGGACUACUCAAGCUAGACCCCAUGUUUCUGAUGGCAAUUUUGAUUUUCGGUAAUAAUAGUUGCCCUAUGGCGAUGUUUGUACAUAGAAUAAGUCAGCUGGCUGUUUCCAUCCGUGUUGAUUUAGCGCAUAGAAUAAGGUAUGCCCCCAUCAAUUUGUUCUUGAGGAAGAACUCAAUAAAUGACACUCUUCAAGUAUCUAAUCAUUAUAUCAUUUUAUUUUAACAUUCCUAUUUGUAACAUUCCUGUUUGUAUACAGUUCUGAAUCCAUAAAGCUACAGUGAUAAUAAAUGGCUGUAGUUUGCAAA